rnacentral:rRNA from 1 species
UACGUAGGGACCAAGCGUUGUUCGGAUUUACUGGGCUUAAAGGGUGCGUAGGCGGCGCAGUAAGUUGGGUGUGAAAUCCCUCGGCUUAACCGAGGAAUUGCGCCCAAAACUACUGUGCUCGAGGGAGAUAGAGGUGAGCGGAACUUAGGGUGGAGCGGUGAAAUGCGUUGAUAUCCUAAGGAACACCGGUGGCGAAAGCGGCUCACUGGAUCUCUUCUGACGCUGAGGCACGAAAGCUAGGGUAGCAAACGGG